rnacentral:rRNA from 1 species
CCUUGACUCUGGGAUAAGCGUUGGAAACGACGUCUAAUACCGGAUACGACUCUUGGAGGCAUCUCUGGGGGUGGAAAGAAUUUUGGUCAAGGAUGAGCUCGCGGCCUAUCAGCUUGUUGGUGAGGUAAUGGCUCACCAAGGCGACGACGGGUAGCCGGCCUGAGAGGGUGACCGGCCACACUGGGACUGAGACACGGCCCAGACUCCUACGGGAGGCAGCAGUGGGGAAUAUUGCACAAUGGGCGAAAGCCUGAUGCAGCAACGCCGCGUGAGGGACGACGGCCUUCGGGUUGUAAACCUCUUUUAGUAGGGAAGAAGCGUAACAGUGACG